CUUCUACUCCCUCCGUUCUGAAUUACUUGUCGCAGGUAUGGAUAUAUCUAAGUGUAUUUUAAUUCUAGAUACAUCCAUUUUUGCGACGAGUAAUUUGGAACAGAGGGAGUACUUG
rfam:Triticum aestivum genome assembly, contig: Triticum_aestivum_CS42_TGACv1_scaffold_570370_7AS